rnacentral:rRNA from 1 species
UACGUAGGGUCCGAGCGUUGUCCGGAAUUAUUGGGCGUAAAGGGCUCGUAGGCGGUUUGUCGCGUCGGGAGUGAAAACACCGGGCUUAACUCGGUGCUUGCUUUCGAUACGGGCAGACUGGAGGUAUGCAGGGGAGAACGGAAUUCCUGGUGUAGCGGUGAAAUGCGCAGAUAUCAGGAGGAACACCGGUGGCGAAGGCGGCUCUCUGGGCCUUACCUGACGCUGAGGAGCGAAAGCGUGGGUAGCGAACAGG